UUCCUGCGUCGUCCCACCGUCCAUUGUGCAUAAAAUAUAUUUGAUCAUGAAACUGCACUAUUUCCGUUUAACAGCGAACUCCGUUAAGGACCUUUAUUGGGCAGGUUAUCAAUUGAGAUGUAACAAUCCUUUUAUAACCAGCGGCGUCGACAUAAGAUACAGGUUUGUCUCCAGCAAAUAAGUCCAUGCAGGUCAGGUGAUUGAUGGGUGCUUUUUUCAGCAGUCAGAUAUUUGGCAGCCAUACAUGCCUGUGCCACAACACUUCCUCCACCACGCUUCACAGAAGAGGUGACAACACUUCCUCCAUCAUGCUUCAAAGAAGAGGUGCCAUAACACUUCCUCCACCAUGCUUCACAGAAGGGGUGGUAUGCUUUGGAUCAUAAGCAGUUACUCACCUUCUCAUUACUCCUCCCUUCCCAUCAUUCUUUUAAAUCCCGGAGGGUUUAUUUAUCUAGUUGCCAAGAUGUGUUGUUGAUCUGGGGAUGUUGUUUCCUGGGUAAAUGCCGACACGUACCCGGUCUCAGAAGAGGCCUAAAUCCUCACCCGCCUCAUAGAGGCCUAAACUCUAGAGGAAGAACAAGAGGCUCUCUCCCCAUUCAUGUUUUUGUUUCAUAAUUUUGAAGACAAUGAAACAUUCAUGGAUGAAAUAGACAAAAGAGGACUUUUUGAUAAUUCUGAGUUUCUCUCUUUUUUAUUUUUGUUAAUGAGGUUACCUAUUAGUUGUCUUUAAACCAUCAGCUAAUCCUGGUUUCCACACAACAAAAAUUACAAGAUCUAGAAAAAACAAUAUGGUUUGACGAGACAAAGAGACAAGAAACAUCAGUUGUUUAGCAAGAGUAAACUGGACAGUGUUUUGGAAGUGUUCAUCUGGCCAUACAACAUGAUAGGAUGAAACCAAUUCCUACAGAAUCUGGGCAAAGCUGAAUACACAGUACAUAAAGAAACAGUUUAGUUUUGUCAGUGUUGGAAUGCACUGUUUUGAAUAUUUGAUCAGGUGAUUAAAUGUUUAAUUGUCUAAAUGUCUAAUUUGUAUUUUUAGGUUAUGCCAUUAACUUCAUGCUUUUGGACUACAUUAAUUUACUUUCACUAAUGUCUGUUGUGCUCUUUUGGACCUGUUCUACUUGUACAUUUAUGUUAUUGAAUCAACUUUUAGAAUAAGGAUUAAAUUAGACUUCAGAUAAUCAAUUCCAUGUAACACUUCUAUUCCUCCCAAUGUUUUAAGUCGAUAACCACGUCAUUACUCUAGAAUUAAACAUUUGCUUGUUCCAGGUACCCCAGGAUUUAUUUUUAUUUCUGUAAACAGAUGUUGACCUGACCUCUACAUGACGCAAAUUGAAACUUGCCACCUUUCUACAACAGGCUAUAGAAACUUCCAGUUAACCAUUUACAACUUUCUGGAACAAGACUGUUAAAUUGAACAGUGCAAGUCAAAGGAAGGAGAAACAAUUACAAUCAUUUGUAUGAAAACUGGUCAGAUCUACACAGCAGAACCCACAUGUCUCGGCAAAGGACCUUCAGAACAGUUUAGCUGACACUCAAGUUGUUGCUCACAGGUCCACCGCACAAUGUACCUUACACAGCAUGUUCACAUUUGUCUAAUAUGUUGAAUCUAUGGAAAAUGCAUAAAUGGUAAUCUAGCAUAAACCUGUGCAAAAGGGAAGCCUGUUUCACUUUGUAACAUGUAGAGCUCAGAUCAACUAUAUUGUAACUGCAAUAAGCAGCAUUUUCAACCAUCAACCUCUUAAUAAU
ensembl:lncRNA